UUUUACGCAGCAUCGCGAUAGAAGCAUUUUGCUCUAACUACAUAUUCUAUUGUGUCUUAUUUGUAACAACGUAUUAUCUCAGUUGUGCGUCGGCUUUUGUGUGGUGAACAUCGUUAAGUUCUCAAGAAAAGUGCCAUAUUUCGUUUUGUGACAAUAUUAAUAAAAGUAAAAAAAUCAUGGAAUCUAAUUCUCGAUCCGCCAAAAUGGUGGUAAUGGCUUUU